GUUAGAGGACCGUCCCCGUCUCGUUUCCGCUGUCCCCGGGCCCUGAUAUGUGAUAAACCAGGGCCUGACUUUGAUGUGCGUGUCAGUGGAGAGGAAUCAGGCUGCAGUACAGACAGGAGCCUGUUUUUAUGGAUGACAGACGGGAGGGGUUGGAGACGGCAGGGAAUGUCCAUGAAAGUCACUAAUCUGGUUAAUCCCAUCAGAUUGAUUGCAACACAUCCAGUUAUCCCUCAUUUAUUCCAAUCAGAGGAAUCAAGCUCAAAGAACAACCCGAGGAACUGGCCCGGACGGAAAAGCCGGUCUGCGAUUACGGCGGGAACUCAGACCGUCGGCCAGAGCCCUGGAGCCCUGUCUCCAGAGCCGAGGCCAGAGGUGUCCCGGGACGCUCCAGAGGCCCAUUCAGAGCACUUUUGUUUCACACCUGGAACCGGGGAGGGGAAGUGUGAAGGGGGCAUUAAUCCCUAUUGAGCAUAACUGCCGAAACCCACCCACCCCGUCUCUUACGACGCUCAUCAUUAAGGAGCCGGGGCCAGAUCAGCAUGUUUGUGAAUGCUUUCAGAUCAUGGACACUUGACUGAAAGAAGUGUCCUUGCGGAAAAAGACAAGGGAGGAGGGAACGCUGCAUUUGGGCCUUUCCUUUUCCUGUUAAGAGUGUAAUGUAAAGGCUGACGUGAGGUGUGAACAUAGACCUGCUCUUUGAAGUUAAAAUUACAUUUACAGGUCAAUUAUGUUGUUAGCAGAAGGUGUCUGCUGGGUUCAAACUGCUGUAAAAUACAACUUAAAGCUAGAUGAAAUGAGACGCGGCCGUUGAUGUCCUGUCAAAACUGAAGACACGCCAUUUAAAGAGGCUGCAAACUGGAGAUAAAACAAUAUAGUGUUUCACACUGUCCAUUAGUGUAUGACAGACUUCUGUGACAGAAUAUCAUAAAAAGCCUAUGAGAGGAGACUCAAAAUAUUGUUAGUGUUUUUUGUAUUCAAAAUACGUUCUGUGGUACUUUGGCCAUUUCAGAUAGUAAUGUAACUGAAUGAUUGUCAUAUUCAUGAACUGUAAUAUUUACUCUGUGCUCUAGGGUUUUAUAAAGAAUGUACACAGUUGCAAAUAAAACAUUUAAGAGAUUAUUGAAGUAUUUAAAA
ensembl:lncRNA